CCCCUCCAACACUGCUCUCAUCACCUAUAUACUCUUCUCUCUGCCCGUCUCUGCUUCCCCCCCCUUCCCCCCCCCCUUUUCUCCCGGCCGACGGAGCUGAAGGGGCGGGGGUUCCUUCCUUGGAGUGUUUCUAGAGCUCGGAGGCUGCUGGUAGGGGGGCACCACUUUCAGAUAAAAACAUAGACCUGAAUGGCAUCAUCCAGUAUCCAAGGAAACCAUUGUGUCUGUAACCAGCUAAUGAGCUGCAACAGAGCCUGGCCUUCAUUUUCAGCAAAUUAAGUUCAUCCCUCAUAGGAAUUGUGGUCUGGCUGUGGCACCGCUCCUAGGUUCUCUAAACAUGAAUAUGCCUUUGGGGGAAGACAGAAGAACAUGGAAGCCAUGUGAAAAAAACGGAUCCUAAGAAGCAUUGAAAAGAACAACUUUCAAGUCAAAAGAAUCAAGGUGAAGAGAAUGGAUACUCAUGCCCAUGUGAAUUUGCUGCCCCAAGUCUACUGGAGGAUCAAGCUGCAGGUUUCAAUAGCUAUAGCCUGAAGAAUCUCUGUAAUGAACUAAAACAAUCAGUAAAAGAUCAGUUGCAGUGGAAGACAUUAUACUCUAGAUUUUUCUAGUAUUAUUAAAUUUGAAAAUGAUUUAUUCCAAAUUUUAACUUAGCUUUUAAUUUUACUAGUGUCAAAAUGUUGUACUACUUUGGACAACUGAUUUUUCCAAUAGAGAGUCAAUAGCAUCUUUGCAGGGUGGUUUAAAAGCCAAUAAUUUAAUCCAUAUUCUACUAAAACUUUUAAUAUAAGCAUUUUACCCAGAUGUAUUUUUUCCUUGUUUUAGAAAAUCUGAUUUUAAUUGCUAAAACUCGUUUUUAAAUAUUAAUUCAAUGAAAGAAAUGCUAUGGUUUUCUACUUUUUCAUUUCUUAAACUCAAGGGAAAACAUGGGUGAAAAACAAAAAAUUGUUCUGCAUAGAGUCUUCUUUAAUGUCUCACUUUGGUGAUGUAUGAAAUAAAAACCAAAUUGUUUUAACCAGCUAAAAAUCUUAGGUUUGAAUUAUCCA
rnacentral:lncRNA from 1 species